GUUUUCCAAUUUGCUUUCGUCUUGUUUUCCAGAGGAAGAAAUCAUUAGAGAUGCAGCUGCUUGCAUGCAAGAGCCUGUGCAUGAGGCCAGCGCCACAGAUGAUGGUAUUUGAAGCAAGAAGGUUCUUUGGGAAACUUUAAGGUAUGAGCCUGGCAAAGGAGGAGGCUGGCCUCGGAAAAUAAGAGCAUGCCUAUUCCAGAAAACCAAGACAGUGCACUCAUCAUGUACCUUGCCGGCUCUCCGUGACCUGUGCAUAUGUGCGCACAUCCCCACAGGGCUCCGGACAACCGCACCAGCAGCCCCUGUCUUCUGCAUGUCAGCCCUGGCUCAUAUGGAGUACAC
rnacentral:lncRNA from 1 species